rnacentral:rRNA from 1 species
UACGGGGGGGGCAAGCGUUGUUCGGAAUUACUGGGCGUAAAGGGCGCGUAGGCGGCUCAUCAAGUCGGGCGUGAAAUCUCCGGGCUUAACCUGGAAAAGUCGUUCGAUACUGUUGGGCUAGAGUGUGGAAGAGGCUACUGGAAUUCCGUGUGUAGCGGUGAAAUGCGUAGAUAUCUGGAGGAACACCGGUGGCGAAGGCGGCAUCCUGGACCGGUAUUGACGCUGAGGCGCGAAAGCCAGGGGAGCAAACGGG